GGGUGAGUAACACGUGGGCAACCUGCCCAAAAGAGGGGGAUAACACUUGGAAACAGGUGCUAAUACCGCAUAACCAUAGUUACCGCAUGGUAACUAUGUAAAAGGUGGCUAUGCUACCGCUUUUGGAUGGGCCCGCGGCGCAUUAGCUAGUUGGUGGGGUAAAGGCUUACCAAGGCAAUGAUGCGUAGCCGAACUGAGAGGUUGAUCGGCCACAUUGGGACUGAGACACGGCCCAAACUCCUACGGGAGGCAGCAGUAGGGAAUCUUCCACAAUGGGCGAAAGCCUGAUGGAGCAACGCCGCGUGGGUGAAGAAGGUCUUCGGAUCGUAAAACCCUGUUGUUAGAGAAGAAAGUGCGUGAGAGUAACUGUUCACGUUUCGACGGUAUCUAACCAGAAAGCCACGGCUAACUACGUGCCAGCAGCCGCGGUAAUACGUAGGUGGCAAGCGUUAUCCGGAUUUAUUGGGCGUAAAGGGAACGCAGGCGGUCUUUUAAGUCUGAUGUGAAAGCCUUCGGCUUAACCGGAGUAGUGCAUUGGAAACUGGGAGACUUGAGUGCAGAAGAGGAGAGUGGAACUCCAUGUGUAGCGGUGAAAUGCGUAGAUAUAUGGAAGAACACCAGUGGCGAAAGCGGCUCUCUGGUCUGUAACUGACGCUGAGGUUCGAAAGCGUGGGUAGCAAACAGGAUUAGAUACCCUGGUAGUCCACGCCGUAA
rnacentral:rRNA from 1 species